GGUUCGAUGCCACGUCGCCGAUAGCCGAUGAGCAUUGAUCGGCGAUGCUAUGAUCGGACCAAAAUCAAUAAUUUGUUUCGCAUUUUGAUAGGAAUCUGUGGACCGUUCAAAAACAGUUCGUCCAUGGAGCCGGUUUAUGUGAUUACAUUU